UACGAAGGGGGCUAGCAUUGCUCGGAAUCACUGGGCGUAAAGGGUGCGUAGGCGGGUAUUUAAGUCAGGGGUGAAAUCCUGGAGCUCAACUCCAGAACUGCCUUUGAUACUGAGUAUCUUGAGUACGGGAGAGGUGAGUGGAACUGCGAGUGUAGAGGUGAAAUUCGUAGAUAUUCGCAAGAACACCAGUGGCGAAGGCGGCUCACUGGCCCGUUACUGACGCUGAGGCACGAAAGCGUGGGGAGCAAACAGG
rnacentral:rRNA from 1 species